CAACCAAAGAAGAAGAAGAAUGUUGUCAGGUUGUCAUGGUAACUUAGGCUCUGACGUAAGUUGCGCAGAGUCUCAAGUGUCUAUGAAGGAUUGUCCUUAAAGCCUAUUGGCUGUGAGAGUGUUUAAAUGAACGGAUAAAGUGUGUUUUCCUUCAACUGGAGCUGCUGUUUAGGAAAGAAUGGCUGCACUGGUUAUUUAGGUUCGGUGCCUCCGUGCGGCUGCUGUUUUAGAGGAACUGACACUUAAGUUGGACCUUUUAAAACAUACUUAUAUAGUACAGAUCGACAAGGAUGACGUUUCUCCAGAGGUGAGUGGAGAGUUAUUAUCUUUUGCAUUUUUAACCUUUAACUAACCUUUAACUAACUAAGUGCUGUGGGUCUUUCUAUGCAGGACAAAGCCGACCUAACCACGCUCAUUAAAUAUUGUGAGACGAUCACAAAUCAUGUAUCAAAGAUGCUGUGUGAGCUGGAGGAGAGCCAGAGUUUCAGCUAUCUGCUGCAGCUGGCUGAUGCAGAGGAGCAGAGGAGGCAACAUGAGGAGAAGGAAAUGGAGGAAAGAAAAGGUCUGGAGCAAAGAGAACUGGCUCUGCUUCUAGAGGAGCUCCAACAGAAACAAGACAAAUUGAAUGAAUUAGAAAAAGUCUGUAUCACACUCACACAGCAGCAGAACUCACAGCAAGAAAAGAAAAAAGACGAGGUGACAAAAACUCAAGAUUUUACCUAUGAGAGAAAGUGUCAGCAUGCUGUGUGGAAGCUCCAGCAACAACUAAAAGUGAUCCAGGAAAUGAAAGAGAAUGAAAAAAGAGCCCAUGAGGAGGGAAAAAAGUUCCUUCACAAACAACAUCAGGAGCUGGUGCAGAAGCUAGAAAAGGACCAGCAGUACACCACAGAGAUGCUGCAGGAGAACAAGAAGCAGCUUCUUGAUGUGUCCCGCAAAAAAACUCUAGCUCUGGACAAACUAGCGGAAAUGCAAAGGAAGUUUAGAGAGAUGGAGCGCAUGGUCGCUGAGGACAAGAAAGAGCAGGAGAAACUGCUCCAACAAGAGAAGGAGACCAAAUCUGCUACAAAGCUCCAGGCCUGGUGGAGAGGCUGCAUGGUUCGCAAAGGCCUGCGCUCUCUUAAGAAAGCAGCGGAUGGCAAGAAAGGAGGGAAAAACAAGAAAGGAAAGAAGAAGAAAUAACCCUCUUUUUGGAGCACGGGACAGCUUUAAAAUAUUAAACACAUUAUUUCAUGUUCCAUGAGUUUCAUUAAAGAGUAUAAUUCAGAUUUGUUUUAUUGCAUUUAUUUAUUUAUUUAUUAACAAAAAAAACACUAAAGGACUAAACAAGCAGGACAAUACUGUCGGUUUGAGACAUAUUGUUUGUUGGCAAAAAAGAGAAAAAUAGGAGACCAAAAUGCUUAAAGAUGGUAGAACAGAGUUCUACCAUCUACCAAAGGACAUUACUUGUGCAAAAACAUACAAACAAAAAAGUAAGAAAAUUAAAUUAAUAUAGCUGUGACAAUUUCUAUACAAUACAAUUUCAGUUCGUGAAUUCCCCCAAAACAAGUUUAGGAAUUCAGGGGAAUCAUAUAUGGAGGUAAUGGACAAAAGGGGAGCUGGUUUUCUCAAAUGAUGGGAUAUUGUUUGUUAUGGAGGCUGUUAGAUUUUCAAUAUUUGAGUGGUCUAUGAGUAAGGUCAACCAGUGGUUUACAGAUAUAAUUAUUUUAGUUUUGUCUUUCCAGUUUAAAAGUAUAACUCUUUUUUUGCAAUAGUUAUUGAUAUUAACAUGAAUAUGAAUGGUAUGUAGGGGUUGGCAAUGGUAAAAAAUGAGAUAUCCCUAAGUAGUGUAGUAAUGGGGC
ensembl:lncRNA dynein regulatory complex protein 9-like